GAAGCAGUCUUUUUUUUUUGUGGGCUUAUCUCCAGAGAGAUAGCCAUCUCAGGAGGCACUGACCCAAGCACCCAGGAAUGCCAUGUUGGCAGAAGGAGGAUACAAAAGGGACCAACAACUGUGAGAGUCGGCAAUGUUGCUGCUGCUCUCCCUCUGUGCUUUUGCCUCAGACCAUCGGAACAGCAUGCAACAGGAUACUGCUGGAUCUUGGUGUUUGAAUGCACCGCAAGAAGGUCAGACCGAGGAAGACGUUGAGCCUUCGCGAGGAAUCCUUCUGACUUCAUCCCCACGACCACCAGAGGGAGACUCCUACUAUGGACAACGCAUGUGCCAGGGGAGGGGCAGUAUGUAAAUGAAUUUCCAGAAGAUUAAUGACACUAGAGACACAGCUGCCAGCAACCUGAAGAAUAUCAAGAAGGACUACAAGGAGCUGGGAACAGCAGUGAAGAACUCAGGAGUACAGGUAGUCCUCUCAGCAGUCCUCCAG
ensembl:lncRNA